GCUCUCUUUGGCAGUACAUAUGCUAAAUUGGAACGAUACAGAGAAGAUUAGCAUGGCCCCUGGCCAAGGAUAACAUGCAAAUUUGUGAAGCGUUCCAUAUUUUU
ensembl:snRNA U6 U6 spliceosomal RNA